rnacentral:rRNA from 1 species
GACAGAGGGGGCAAGCGUUGCUCGGAAUUACUGGGCGUAAAGGGCGCGUAGGCGGGCUGCCAAGUCUGGGGUGAAAUCCCGCGGCUCAACCGUGGAACUGCCUCAGAUACUGGCGGCCUCGAGGGAGGUAGGGGCGAGCGGAACUAAUGGUGGAGCGGUGAAAUGCGUUGAUAUCAUUAGGAACUCCGGUGGCGAAGGCGGCUCGCUGGACCUUUUCUGACGCUGAGGCGCGAAAGCUAGGGGAGCAAACGGG